UACGUAGGGGGUAAGCGUUGUCCGGAUUUAUUGGGCGUAAAGAGCUCGUAGGCGGUUGGGCAAGUCACGUGUGAAAUCUCCACGCUCAACGUGGAGGCGCCACGUGAGACUGCCCUGACUCGAGUCCGGUAGGGGAGCGUGGAAUUCCCGGUGUAGCGGUGAAAUGCGCAGAGAUCGGGAGGAACACCCGUAGUGAAGGCGGCGCUCUGGGCCGGUACUGACGCUGAGGAGCGAAAGCGUGGGGAGCAAACAGG
rnacentral:rRNA from 1 species